rnacentral:rRNA from 1 species
UUGGGUAUAAACCCGGGAAACUGGGUAUAAUCCCCUAUAAGUCUCGGCUGCUGGAAUGCACCGAGAUUAAAAGCUCCGGCGCCUAAGGAUGGGUCUGCGGCCUAUCAGGUAGUAGUGGGUGUGGCGUACCUACUAGCCUACGACGGGUACGGGUUGUGAGAGCAAGAGCCCGGAGAUGGAUUCUGAGACACGAAUCCAGGCCCUACGGGGUGCAGCAGGCGCGAAAACUUUACAAUGCUGGCAACAGCGAUAAGGGAACCUCGAGUGCCAGGUUACAAAUCUGGCUGUCGAGAUGCCUAAAAAGCAUUUCAUAGCAAGGGCCGGGCAAGACCGGUGCCAGCCGCCGCGGUAACACCGGCGGCUCGAGUGGUAACCGUUAUUAUUGGGUCUAAAGGGUCUGUAGCCGGCCGGAUAAGUCUCUUGAGAAAUCUGGCAGCUUAACUGUCAGGCUUUCAGGAGAUACUGUC